AGCUGGUUUAUAUCAUCAAAAUAAAACGUGCGAUUCUUCAAUUACUAAUAAUAAUAAUCUCUAAGCAUACAAACAGCUGGAAAAACUUUUUUAUAAUAUGUAAUGAUAUGGUGGAUCUUUAACAAAAGUACCCUGUCGAAAAUACGUACCUGCCAACGGGCUAUGGAGAGGAGCAUCCUUGGCAUCAAGACCAUCGACAAAGUCAACUGUAAAAAAAUCAGACUAAAAACCAAAGUGAUAGACGCAUCAGAACACGCGCAGCGCUUGAAGUGGAAAUGGGCAGGAC
rnacentral:misc_RNA from 1 species